rnacentral:lncRNA from 1 species
GAUCGCCGUCGGAGGAGAAGGAGAUGAAGUAGACGAUAAGAGAGAGAGAAUAGAGAGCGUGGUUGAUGGCUUAGCCAUCUAUCCCCCUCGAUAACUUCAACAAAGACGUGAGCUCCUCUCCAUCUCUCUCUCCAUAAAUCCUACUCCUUGCCUUCUUUUCACGAUCUCACCAUUUUCCACAAAACACGAUCUUGCUUUGUGGGUUAUAUAUCAAUUGUUAUCUUACACAAUCUACUUU